GUGCCCUUUUAAGGUUGAUGCAGUACUUUAAGAGGCUAACACAGAGGGAAAAGGAACUCUCCAUAAAACCCAGAGGAGAGACUGUUCACCUCCUCUUUGGAUCCUGUCGGGGGUCACAGCU
rnacentral:snoRNA from 1 species